ACACCUCAGCCUUUGUUCAGGGAGACAAGGGCUGCAGCCCACUCAGAUGGAAUUUAUUUUGUGCUCAGUAAUUCAAUCCAUUUGGGCUCAGGAUGUGGCCAGGAGAGUUGAGCCAAAAAAUGCAAGUUUAAAGCAACUAAAUUUUAUGCUGUGUAUACAGUUAAGUUUGGGUUUGGCUGAGACAAGCAGUUUCCAUGGUUUUUGCAAUUUCUGUUGUAGCAACGAGCUCCUUAUGCAAUGGAAGGGCUGGGAAGCCUGUGGUCCUCCGGCAAGCCGUGGCCGGAGAGGGGCACGGGGGGAGCCAGGGCAGCUCAGACAGGGGACAGGGCUCAUCACAAGGUGAUUAGUAUUGGCCCGACUGUGUGACCCUCCGUGGGGACAGCAUGCUUGGCAUGGGUGAGUGCAUCCCUGUGGUCUGGCCUGGAAAGGGUUGGAUGGUUUCCUCUAAGUCCAUUCCCCCAGCCUCCGAACGCCUCCAGUGCCAUGCGGAGCUGCUCCCAGUGCAGGGAUGCGGCUGCUGAGCCGCACUUUUCCUCGCCAAGGUGCCCCUCUCCCUGCCGUUAACAUUUUUGAAUGUCACUUUAAAGCGAGGGCUGGAAAAGCUCAGCAAUGCCAAGCCAUAACCCAACAGCUGGGCUGCAGAUGUGCAGAGAAGCCCACACCAGCCUGCAGCAUCAAUGCGCAUCCCCGUCCCCUCCGGCCUCGUCUGCCUUCUGUGCAUGGAGGCCACAUGUUUGAACAAGGCUCAUCCUUAAUUUUGCACAGCACCUUGCACCUCUGCAUCCCUCCGUGAGGUUGCAGAGCCUCUUUGCAGUCCUGUCCGUGGUAAAAAGCAUGAGAUCAAAACCAGACAAAACCCCAGUGCUCUCAGAAAUAACAUACAUUGUUUUUCCCCUUGACCGGGGAUUUAUUAUUUCAGCUUGCCAGCUUACUCGGACCAGCCGUGCUCAUCCUCCAGCUGUGCAUUUGGCAGCAAGAGCUUUGUGUGCUGCCUGGUGGGUGAGAGAUGGCCCCUUCCCCACAGCAGGGAGGGUGGCUCAGCACCCCACCGCCUGGAAGAGCAUCAGGGCUUGGGCAAAGGAGACCUCCGUAGGGAUGUUUUCUUGUUAAAUGGCAUCAAGGGGCCCUUUUUGUUUGGGGAUCAUUCCCCUGAAACCGCUGUUCUUUCAAGAAGCUAAUCGAAGUGGCCCAACUGAGUCCAAGGCACAGCCAGUGCCUCAGCCAUGAUUUAUCCCCAAUCCAAUAGUGGGCUGGAUGGGAUUCCCUUCCAGUUAUGCCCCAUGCCUUGUUUGUUACCAUAACCAGGGCCAGUUUACAAAAAAAAUUAUCAGUUCAUCAGGCUAGCCACUUCUGUAACAUGCCUGCCAGCAACCCACAGGCUUGGAAGCAGCUCUCCAAAUGCUCAUUCUUCUUAGGCUUUGCGCUUUUGCCUGCAGAAACGGUGCAUUGCCCUCCUGAAGUUAAUCCUCCCAGCCCAUCCUGUCCCACUGCCAAAGGCUCGUGAGAGCCGUUCGGCAAUGGAUACUUCAUCUUACAUGGCCAGCUCAAGGGCUUCCUGAUGGGGCUUCUGUGAAUUUAGCAACCCAGUGGAUUUCGAUCCCAUGAAUUUCUCCAGUAUCCUCUUGAACCCACGUAACCAUUGACAUCCUCAGCGUCCUGUGGUGGGGAGCUCAGCAAGUUAAAUACGUGCUGUUUGGGGACCCACCUUCUUUUGGGUGCUGUGAACAGCGUUCCCGCUGGCAUCAUUUGAUGCCUGCCUGAUCCUGCAUCGGCAGAGACCUGGCACAGCCCCUCCUUCCCAAAGCCACUGAGAUGUCACAGCUUGCUGUUGCCUCAUCUUGCAGUCUCAAGGCACCUUGGGCAAAUAGAGGGCUCCUUUGGAAAUGUCCAUCCUUGCCCUGCUCUCCUCACCUUCCCCACACUGUGCAGCCUGCCCUCCCUGUCCCUGAGCUUCUCUUCCCAGUAUAACCCCAGCUUCGGGGUCCCAUCUGCUCCCACCCUGCUCCAUGUCCAUCCCGACACCUGGCACUUGCUGGUGGGGUAGCUCCUCCGGGAAACAUAAGAUCUGCAGCUUUGCUUGGCCUCAGAAGACUCGCACUGUGUGUCGAAAGCGCCUGGCAUCACUUUGGAGGCUGCUGUCGGCCACAUGUCAUGAAACGACAUUAGGAUGCUGGUGCGUUGUUUCAGCCUCUGGCAAAACCUAUCCUGCCUCAUCCCCUCCCUGCUUUUCCACCUUGGAGGGCUGCACCUCGUUACCGGCUCGCCGAGCCCCUUUGUUGCUCCCUGACCACUGCUGGUCCCCACACUUUGACCCCAAGAGCGUUUUGCAUCCCCCUUUCUGCCCGCACAUUGGAGGUGGAGGGGAUUGUGCCCUGGGACUCAUCUGUGUGCCUCCUCCUCUUCCUCCCCCAUUGCUUCCAGCAGAGGUUUGAGAUGACCGUCAUCUUCAGAGAUGUUUGGCUGUCCUGGUCCUGCAAGAAGUCGGUGUGUGCCUGGAAGACCUGCAUCCUUCCAGCAUCGCCUCGAGGGUGCUUGCGUCUUACCAGUGAGAUCACUGCUUUUUUGCAUUCCCUGCAAACCUAAUCUCUGGAUUAAUACUUUUUUGCCAUUAAACUUCUGAUCUGCACUGAGAAAACGCGAUGAAGUCAUUGCAACUCCUAAAAACUGGAAAAAGUCCCUCUUGUUCAAAGCCCUCCUGGGGUAAGUCUCCGACAAGGAGGAGGUCCAAAACACGAGUGUUUGCGGACAAAAUAUGACUCUUGCAAUCUGCCCACACCGGAUCAGGCUAUUAACAAGUUCAUGACAAGCAACGCGCUGGAACGUAAUUAGAGAAGAACUCCGUAGCCAGCCAGAACCUCCCAACAUUUUAAAUGUCAGCUCAGAAACACAUGAAUUGCUUGGAAGGGUCUUCUGGAGCCAAGGUAAACUUUGGGGAAUUGGGGUAAUCUGCCAACACGCCUUCGGAGCAGCGAGGUCCUGGUACCGGACGGUCGGCUCGCUGCAGUUUCAUCAAGACCGAGGUGUUUUGCAGGAACAUGGCUGACCCUCCUGCAAAGAUAUGUUUUGACUUUUCCUUUAGAGACAAACUUUCCUCUCCAUGACAAGAUGAGUUAUCUUUUUUAAUCAGAGCUGGAAUAAAAGAUCCAGAUCCAUCCCAAUGUCCAGUUCCUCCUUGGAAAUUUGUUUCCUGGGAAAUUUCAAAAUGUUUUUGAAACAAGUUUGCAAACAUGGAGCACACUCCUAGUAAUCCUGGCAGGCAGCAGCUCCGAACGCCCUACAGCAGAUCAUCCAAGGGAUGGAGAAAACCCCUCCACGUGCAACGGUUCAUCCAUGCAAAUGAAGCUGAAUUAAACAGGCUUCUACUAGAGGCCGACCCAAGCAAACGCUCUCUUGCAAGUAAUGCUUUUCCCUGUGUCUUUUCCUCUCCCAGAGUUUUCUUCCAGACAAGAAGCUGGUGCUGGUUCCUCAGCUCUGCAAAUAACCCUGGGGAAGGGAAGGGUUGGGAAGCCCUUGGUUGUUUGGGGUCCUGACCCUGGAUUUUGGUGGGGCAGGUGGCUGAAGGAGCUGGGUGGAUGUGGGUGACCGAAGUGCAGAUUCGAAGACCCUGCCGGGAUUUACACAAGCACACGGUCGAGCCGAUGCUUCGAGAGCCAGCCCCAAAGCUGCUGCCUGCAGACGCCCAUUUCUGUUCUUGCUUUCCCAGCCUGGGAUGGGAGUCUGGGAUUUAGUGCCUGGAGUCAGAAAUAAAGUCCAAGCAAGUGCCAUUUCCAGCUGGCAUGACUGAUCCA